AUUAGAGGAAGGAGAAGUCGUAACAAGGUUUCCGUAGGUGAACCUGCGGAAGGAUCAUUGUCGAAACCUGCCCAGCAGAACGACCCGCGAACGCGUUAACAACACACCCGGAGGGGGUGCGGACGCCCCCGUGCCCCGAGCCCCCUCCGUGCCCGGGCGUGCGCGACGGUCGCUCCGGUUCCCGACCGAACGACCGGUCUCGUCGCUCGCGGCAAACAACGAACCCCCGGCGCGAAUCGCGCCAAGGAACCGUAAUGAAAAAGAGCACGUGCGUUGCUCUGCCGCCCCGUCCGCGGCGAGCGCGCGGGCAGCGUCGUGGCUCCUUUUGUCGUGAAAAUCUAAAACGACUCUCGGCAACGGAUAUCUCGGCUCUCGCAUCGAUGAAGAACGUAGCGAAAUGCGAUACUUGGUGUGAAUUGCAGAAUCCCGUGAACCAUCGAGUCUUUGAACGCAAGUUGCGCCCCAAGCCAUUAGGCCGAGGGCACGCCUGCCUGGGUGUCACGCAUCGUCGCCCCCUUCGACCCUCGGCCCCUCCGGGUCCGGGCGAUGCGGGGCGGAAAAUGGCCUCCCGUGCGCUUCCCGCUCGCGGUUGGCCCAAAAAGCCCGUCCUCGGCAACGAUAGCGCCGCGACGAUCGGUGGUAACGCAUCGUCUCCCGUCGCGCGCGCCCGUCGUCGAUUCGGACCGACCAGGACCCUCUUGCAUCGCUUUCGUCGGUGCUCGCAUCGCGACCCCAGGUCAGGCGGGAUUACCCGCUGAGUUUA
rnacentral:rRNA from 1 species